CCGUCUUUGCCCGGGGUGGGGGGGGGGGUCUACUUUGACUGGUGCAUUAAUAAAAUAAACUGUUCUUACAGUUCAUAUAACCAAUUCAGGGUCACAAAGCAUUAUGGUAAAAUUGACACCUGCCAUCAUUUUUAUUAUGGUGAAUUUCAAACAUACAGUUCAACUGGUCUAUUUCAAUUUUAUUUCUUUGGAUAUUGUACUUUAUCUAAGGAAUAUUAAAGCCUACACUACUGUAUAUAUCACAUAUUUUGUAAGUACUUUCAACAUUGUUAUGUUGCUAUUUGGACACUGUAGAGUGUACACUGCUGAAACAAUGUACCAUAUAACAUAUUUUAAAAAUAAUUUCAAAUAUUGUAUUGCUAUUUUUGCACAGCCACUGUGGACAUCAGCUUCACAUGACAGGGAUAAAUGAAAUUAAUCUUAAUAUGUCUAUCUAUCUAUCUAUUUUUAGUAUCACCAAAUUAAUAAAUUCAAUUGAGUGACAAAAAUAUCCAUUCUAUUAACAAAUCCAUGAUGUCUGCU
rnacentral:lncRNA from 1 species